CUUGAACGCUAGCGGCAGGCUUAACACAUGCAAGUCGAACGAUUGGCGGACGGGUGAGUAAUGCUUGGGAAUCUGGCCUAUGGCGGGGGAUAACUACUGUAAACUGUAGCUAAUACCGCGUACCAUAUGAAGAGCCCAAGUGGGAUGAGUUAGUUGUUGAGGUAAAGGCUCACCAAGCCGACGAUCGCUAGCUGGUCUGAGAGGAUGACCAGCCACACUGGGACUGAGACACGGCCCAGACUCCUACGGGAGGCAGCAGUGGGGAAUAUUGCGCAAUGGGGGAAACCUGACGCAGCCAUGCCGCGUGAAUGAAGAAGGCCUUCGGUUUGUAAAGUUCUUUCGGUAGCGAGGCGUUAACUACAGAAGAAGCACCGGCUAACUCCGUGCCAGCCGCCGCGGUAAUAC
rnacentral:rRNA from 1 species